AUUGAACGCUGGCGGCAUGCCUUACACAUGCAAGUCGAACGGCAGCGGGGGAGAAGCUUGCUUUUCCUGCCGGCGAGUGGCGAACGGGUGAGUAAUACAUCGGAACGUGCCCUGUAGUGGGGGAUAACUAGUCGAAAGAUUAGCUAAUACCGCAUACGACCUGAGGGUGAAAGUGGGGGACCGCAAGGCCUCAUGCUAUAGGAGCGGCCGAUGUCUGAUUAGCUAGUUGGUGGGGUAAAGGCCUACCAAGGCGACGAUCAGUAGCUGGUCUGAGAGGACGAUCAGCCACACUGGGACUGAGACACGGCCCAGACUCCUACGGGAGGCAGCAGUGGGGAAUUUUGGACAAUGGGCGAAAGCCUGAUCCAGCAAUGCCGCGUGUGAAGAAGGCCUUCGGGUUGUAAAGCACUUUUGUCCGGAAAGAAAUGGCUCUGGUUAAUACCUGGGGUCGAUGACGGUACCGGAAGAAUAAGGACCGGCUAACUACGUGCCAGCAGCCGCCGCCG
rnacentral:rRNA from 1 species